rnacentral:snRNA from 1 species
GGAUAUGAGGGUGAUCUGGCUGCAACAUUGUCACCCCGUUGAUCGCCAGGGUUGAUUCAGCUGAUCUGGCUGGCUAGGCCAGUGUCCCCUUCCUACCUCACCACUCCAUGUGCAUCCCUUCUGAAGCUGUGUGCUCAAAGGAGGCAAACCCCACCCCCAUAGAGGAGGACCAUUUCCAAGGUCAAGGGUAUACGGGUAGCUUCGUUCCCCUGCUAGAACCUCCAAACAAGCUGGUGAGAAAGGUGUCUUUUGGCCAGGCAUGGUGGCAUAUGCCUGUAAUCCCAGCACUUGGGAGGCCAAG